UGCCAAACAGGAUGGACAUAGAUUGUUAGU
rnacentral:piRNA from 1 species